UUUUUAAAAAAUGCUGGCACGCAAAAAGGUUUGAAUUUUGGUUUAUUAAACCCGGGAAACCGCCACAGGGAAAGUUCAAAUAAGCGGGACGAGGGUUUCUAAUUUUUACUCUUACUCUUUUGGAUCUCAAGCACGAAGCUUCUUCUCAUCAACACUUCACCGUCUUCCAUUUGAGUUCCAUCGGAUUCCGAUCACAGUUCAGGUUUUGAUUGAGAGGAGGAACCAGUGGAAAUCACUAAGAAGGGAGGUGAUAUCUGUACUACAAUAAACAUGACGGAAAAAUAUUCACAAGAAAUUGUAGAAUGGGAGUUCACACUGUUGGAGUUUGUUUAUUAGUGUUACUGGUAAUUCUUGAUGCCCCUAUGAAUGUGCUCUUUUUCGCCUGUUACAUAAGGAAGAAGUAGGAUUGAGUCACAUUUACUAUAGUUGUGCUUGUAUGCGAGUAGGUUGUGAUAAAAUGACAUACUCAAAUUCUGAAACUCUGAAUAUAACAAUUAAAGCUAGGAACAGUGAAUUUUGGAAUCAUUGGACUGCUUUAUGACAUGUUUCUCCUGUUCAGGGUAUGCUUGCCGUAAACAACCUGACAGGCACAAACCUCUCUCCUGUCGUCCUGUUUAACUAUCUUAGGCAUGCAACUUUCAAGGAAAAAAAAUCUUCUACUGUACUUGGCCAAUUCCAUUGGCUAAGCUUCUUUAGUGGAAGGUUCCUAGUGUUUCUCUUCCCA